GUUAUUUUAAAUUUUCUAUGAAAUUUUAUAUAUCUGAGUACAGCUAAAAACAUGUGUUCCCUUGCUAGAUAUUAGGUCAUACUAUAUUUAUACUAAAUCGAUAUUUUGUUGCCAUAAUGACGUAUCACAUAACAACAUAGAACUCGGUGGCUUAUGGCAAUAAGUUUUCUUCUGUGUCUACAGGUUGGCUGAGAUGGCUUUGCUUGAUCUUUGUAUUGGCUAUGCUGGAAUUCAGGUUUCCUGGUUUCAGGUCUGCUCUGUAUGUCGUCACAUUUCUCAUGGUGGUUCAUAGCAGGACAAAAGCCUUGGCUUGAAAUUAGCACACUGUCAUUUCUCCCUGCAUUCUGUUGGCCAAAACAAGUCACAGGGCCAGGCCCCACACCAAUAAAAUGUAGGAAAGAAUAUUCUACCUACUUCUCUGAACUGCAGAGUCAUACGACAAGAGAGACUGAGUGACUAAAUAGUCAAACUGCCUCUAGUCAAUAUAAUAAAAACUGUAUCGUAGGAGAUUAGCUUUAUAGUAAUCAUGCAAAUUUAAUAUACUAUGAAUCUGGACAAUAUGAUAGGAAGAUAAUAGUUCAAUUUGUAAAUGAUAUUCGUCCAAAUGGCUAACCAACUGAAAAGAAACACAUUUGAAUUCCUAUUUAACACUAUAUUCAAAUAAAUUUUAGCAUAAAUAUUAUAAAUUUAAAUAUCAAAAAACAAGUUAUAUCUAUAAAAAAUUUAGAGGAUUUUGGGUAGAGCUGUUUAAAUAGAAAGGCAAUUCUGAAGCUUUAAAAGAAAAUAUGGACAUAUUUAUGUAGAUUUAAAUUUUUUGCAUGUGGCAAAAAGUAACACCAGUAAACAACAUUAUUUGGGGAAAAUAUUUUUGAAAUAUAUGUGGCAGUAUAUAUAGUUUAUGAUGACCAAAUAUAGUAUAGUAAAAGUUCUUACAUACUGAUAAAGAACAAAUUCACCCAAUAGGGAAAUGAAGUUUAUAAAAAGACGUUUCAUAGGAGAGUAAAUUCCUAUCACAAAUACAUGUAUCAAAAUAAGCUGAGCCUACUUUUGUACCCAAUUUUCAGAGAAAUCAAAGAAAUCAGGAGUUCCUGUUGCAGCGCAGUGGUUAACGAAUCAGACUAGGAACCACGAGGUUGCGGGUUUGAUCCCUGCCCUCGCUCAGUGGGUUGACGAUCUGGCGUUGCCGUGAGCUGUGGUGUAGGUUGUAGAUGCGGCUUGGACCCUGUGUUGCUGUGGCUGUGGUGUAGGCCGGCGGCUACAGGUCCGAUUAGACCCCUAGCCUGGGAACCUCCAUAUGGCGCAGGAGCAGCCCAAGAAAUGGCAAAAAGACAAAAAAAAAAAAAAAAAAAAAAAAAGAAAGAAAUCAAAGUUCUCAGUAAAUUCUGAGAACUUAUUUUAUACUCAUUAUAUUGGCAAAAAUUACAAAAAGCAUGAUAACACCUACUGCUGGUGGGGAUCAUAUAAAGACACUUUAAAGUAUUAAUGGUGGAAACAUGCAUCAUUGCAGGCUCUUGUGGAAAUCAAUCUGGCAGAGUUAUUAAAAUGAAAAUCACGUUAUUCAACCAGAAAUAGCAUACUAUGUGACCCUAUCCUAUAGAAAUAAAAAUAUGAACACAUAAAUAUAUAUAUGUAAGUUAACUGUUUAUUUCUUUAUUAUUCAAAGAAAUAAAACUUGGGAACCAGAUAAGAAUUUAUAAGUAGGAAUGUGCAUAAAUCAUGGCAUAUUUUUACAAAAUUAUUUUCAUGGUAUAAUUAUACAGCAUUAUUUUUAUAUAGCUAUUAGUAAGGAAGACUUAAGAGGUAACAAGAAUAGUGAGAGGACAUGGAAGGGAAGUAAGCAUCCAAACACUGAGAACAUACCAGAGACAAAGAUUCAGAGCAUUUGGGAUUCAACAAGUCUUGGUUGGGUGUUCAUUGUAACAUAGGAAACUAAUUACCAUCGUAACUGGGAAACUCAUUCUAAAUCCACAUACCUGACUUGGAGAGAAUGCUUAGAGACCCAUGUGUUUAGAACCUGGCUGGCUAUCGGCUUAUUCCCUACUUGUAGGUUCUGUGAGACCUUAGAGGGGUGGGGCUGGGGCAGAGAUCAGGAAGCUGGAGUGUGUAGUAAUUACUGGAAACCUCAACCAACCCCUGUGUCUGGGUUUGACACUCUUAUUAUACCUAAAAGAAAAUCAUAUGAUUUUAAAGCUGACUUCAUUUUACUGAAGAAGCAACCAGAGUCCAUAUAUUGAAUAAUUUAUUUGUGUUCACCAUUUUGAGGCAGAUCCAGAAGUCAAGUUCUCAUCUCUCUACACUUUGACCCUAUAUUUAUAUUGAUUUAAUGAAUUUCUGAGCAUUCUUUAAUUUUUCUUAUUUUGAAUCUUAUUUGUUUCUCACUACUAAUCACCUUCUCUUUCAAAGCAGCUUAAGGUUCCAAUUUAUUGAGUAGCUAUCUUGUGCCAGAUUCUUUGCAUACUUUGUCAUUAAUCCUUGCAACGACACUCUAAAUUUGGACAACAGUAUAACAAUUUUAACUUUGAUGAAACAGCCAAAGAAAGAUAAAUAAUUUGCCCACAGUAAGGAAAUUAUGCAGAGGGGAUCAGAACUGAUAACAGAGCCUAAGUUCUCUCUACUUCAUCACACUGCCUUCACUUCACCUCCACCUCCACCAAUUCUAGUUGGUGCCUCCUUGGGGUGAUAUUUCCCCUGUCUUUUCUUCUACAGCAGUAGUUCUCAACUUAUGUGACUAUGAGGAAUAUUUUCUAACACCAAACAUUUUCUCAGACCAGUAUCUCAGAGUAGUUAUAUUUAAUUAUUUGCAAUUACUGAUAUAAUACAUAAUGAAAAUAAACGUAUGAAUUUAAUAAACACAUCUUUUAGAUUAAUUUACAUUUGAUUCAUCUUACAGUAUUGACAGAAAUUUGAAAAGAAUAGUGAUAUAUGCAAUCAUAUUAUCUCAUCAUUUGAAAAUGCCUGAAAUGUAUACAAAUCUCAACAUUCCUAAUUAUAUUUCAGGGGCUCCCCAGAGAUCCACAAUUCUAUGGCUGGAAGACAGUGUUCUGUAAGUUUUCAGCAUCUGUUCCUUCUGCUCCCUUAAGUUACCAGCCUGCAGUUUGCACGGGCUGGCUUUUAUCUAGAGUAAUUUUUGACUUCCUUCUGCAUUCACUGCAUGAUCAGUGGCCUUAUAAUUGGUCUGCUCAAAAUGAUGAAACAAGGUGAUAUUGGACCAGCUUCUUGCUCCUAAUCGCUUCUUGGUCCUAGAGUAAACAUUGAAGGUAGAACCUCAUUUCUCCUCUACCUCCCAGCUUUGAGGCAACACUGAAUCCUUCCACCCACCCAACCUCUUGUCAAUUCAUUUCAGAGUUGUCAUCUCUCUGUAUCACUCACCUAUCACUAACCCCUGACUUAUUUACUUGGUACAUGACAUUUACCUACCUACCACCACCAUCCUGCCCAGCUCAAUUCUAACAUAAGUGGGCCUUUUGAUUGUUUAAUCUAUGAUCUACAUCGGUGUUUAUUCGUGCUAUAAUUUGGGCUUUUGGUAGAGGCAAGAAGUGGUAUGGAGUUCUGACCUAGUGUUUGCUAAGUUUUGGUAUGGAACCAUGCUUCUUGUUUGUCUGAUCUGCAAUUCUAAUGCAAGUAAUGACUUCAAGGUUCUUGUUCAGUUCUAUAAUUUCAAGACUUUCUGAGUCACAGAAUAUUCCCUUAGGAACCCAUUCAUAUAAGAGUCCCCAUGUCAGAAUUCCUGAAUCCAGGUACUACCAUCUUUCCCACCUAUACCAUCAUACAAUAGUGUGAUCCAACUUAACGACACCAGUAUUCUGCUCUGGUCUCAUUCUAAUUUAGUUUGAGAAGCCAACCUAUUUUACUUCCUCUCACUAUCCCAUACACUCACAUACUUUGCCAGCCUUGUUUUGCCCUUGCUAGUCUUCUCCAGCUGCUGGAUUAUAGGUUUGUAACAUAUAUUUACUUAUCAGGAAAGCUGUGCUGUUUCAUUUUAGACCUUCAUUCUACUUGCCCAAAGUGUGAAUGAAUUUGGCCACAAUCUUAGAAAAAUCAUGCCCAGUAUUUCAAUUUGAGGAAACAACUCGGUAAAGCCACAAUUUUCAACAGUGGGUUAGGGUAGGAUUUUCUCUACACAUAGUCUAUAUAGGUCAAUGGAGAGAAGGUGAUGAACACUGAAUUCUUAAGAAACUUGGGUCUAAGUUGGGGAACUGAACAAGAUAUAGUCAGUAAAUCAAGAGUGGGUCAAAAAAGAUAUAAAGCAAAAUAUAAACAAGCAAUAAAAAUCCAGGUUUUUAAAUUCAAGGGGCUCAGAUAAAAUAAGUGAAAUUCAGACAUAAAUAUGGAGCAAAGGAACACUCAAACAUUGCUGGUUGCUGGUUGGAAAUGUAAAAUGGCACAGCUACUCUGGCAGUUUCUUGAAAAACUAAAAUACUGUUACCAUCCGACUCAGCAAUCUCUCUCUUGAUAUUGCCUCUGAGGAAUUCAACACAUUAAGUCCACACAAAAACCUGCACACAAAUGUUUUUAAAAUGCCCAAACUUGGAAGCAACCAUAAUAUCUUCAGUAGCUGAAUGAUAAAUUAUUGUACAUUCAUCUAAUGGGAUAUUAUUCAGUGCUAAAUAGAAAUGAGAUAUCAAGCUAUGAAAAGACGCGGGGGAAACAUUAAAUGCAUUUUACUAAGUGAGAGCGCAAGUCAAUCUGAGAAGGCUACAUACUGCAUGACUGCAACUAUGUGAUAUCCUAGGAAAAGCAAAGAUGUGGAAACAAAAAGAUCAGUGAUUGCAAAGGGUGGGAUGAUGAAGAAAUGAAAAGGUGAAUGGGCAGAGAAAACAGAAGUUUUUAGGGCAGUGAAAAUACUCUGUAUGAUAUUACAAUUAUGGAUAUGUGUCAUUGUGUUUUUUUCCAAACCCACAGAAUGUUCUACAUUAAGAGUAAACCUUAAGAUAAACUAUGGACUUUGAGUUUAAA
rnacentral:lncRNA from 1 species